GGAGGGCAAGUCGGGUGCCAGCAGCCGCGGUAAUUCCAGCUCCAAUAGCGUAUAUUAAAGUUGUUGUGGUUAAAAAGCUCGUAGUUGAACCUUGGGCCUGGCUGGCCGGUCCGCCUCACCGCGUGUACUGGUCCGGCCGGGCCUUUCCCUCUGUGGAACCCCAUGCCCUUCACUGGGUGUGGCGGGGAAACAGGACUUUUACUUUGAAAAAAUUAGAGUGCUCCAGGCAGGCCUAUGCUCGAAUACAUUAGCAUGGAAUAAUAGAAUAGGACGUGUGGUUCUAUUUUGUUGGUUUCUAGGACCGCCGUAAUGAUUAAUAGGGACAGUCGGGGGCAUCAGUAUUCAAUUGUCAGAGGUGAAAUUCUUGGAUUUAUUGAAGACUAACUACUGCGAAAGCAUUCGCCAAGGAUGUUUUCAUUAAUCAGGAACGAAAGUUAGGGGAUCGAAGACGAUCAGAUACCGUCGUAGUCUUAACCCUAAACUAUGCCGACUAGGGAUCGGACGAUGUUAUUUUUUGACUCGUUCGGCACCUUACGGGAAAC
rnacentral:rRNA from 1 species